UGCGAGGCCCGUUUGGCCGCAAACUACAUGGUGCAAAGUGGGUGGGCUCAUGACCCAGUCGCAGGUUCAAAUCCUGCCCUCGCAACCA
rnacentral:tRNA from 1 species